AGAGAGAGAGAGAGAGAGAGAGAGAGAGAGAGAGAGAGAGAGAGAGAGAGGCAUUCUACUUGAAGACACGGAAGGAAGAGGAUGGAGCAGGAGGGUUGGGAACGAGCCCCUCCAGUGGUGUGCUGUUAACUUCACGUCCUGGGUAUCCAUCCCCCUGAUGUGAGGGACGGAGGACGCGAAGACGUUCCACGGUCUGGAGACUCGCCCCCAAAAGGUGGGCCGGUGUUGGCUGGAGCGGGAACGCGGCACUUCCACCGAGUCACCACCGGAUGACACCGUGGAGCUUGCUGAUGUGUGUGGCAGCACAGGACAUCCAGGAGAGGGCGGAAUACUCUAAAUAAGGCCGUAUCUGGGCCUUGUAGAGCAAGAGCCUCCCUCUCAUGUCCAGCAAGCACUUCCUCCCACACACAAGGUCACUCUUAUCCAACUCACACAGCCUCCCCCUGACCCCCUCACACCCUUCAACACCCCCUCACACCCCGUCAACACCCCCUGACACCCUCACACCAGGCCGAA